GCCUGGGGGGCUCAAUCGGUUGAGCGUCUGACUUCGGUUCAGGUCACGAUCUUGUGGUUUGUGGGUUCAAGCCCCACGUCGGGCU
rnacentral:tRNA from 1 species